AUAAAAUUCACUCCUGCCUGAAAUCCCCAACUUUCCCCCCUAAAAUCCCUAAUUUCCCACAAGAAAAAAAACCAAAAAGCUUCAACUCAUGGCCACAACGUUCCCUUUCUCAAGAUUUCCUUUUUAUUUCUCAUGGCCAUAUGGAUCAUAUUGUUAGUUUUUUCCUUUCUCUCUUUCUCUUUCUUGUGUUCCUGUUCUUCAUGUUCUCUUUCUCAAGAUGUUUACGUUUUUUUUUUCAAUGUGCUAUUUUCUUUAUGUUGAUUCCUACAAUACUUGUAUAUUAGGCUCUCGCCCCUUAUUUUUUGUGUAUUACUUUUGAAUACAUUCGUCAAUCAGAGCUUAAGCAUAAUUUAAUCGGCUUGGAUGGGGGGGCUUUGGGAUGUAGAAAGCGACAAUGAUGGCCAACAAGAAGGCUGCCUAUUGCGGGUUAUAUCCCAGUUUUAGUCAUUCUAUCUAAAAUGUUCUUUGCAGGUUAACUUAGACACGUGUUCAAAAGAUCAUGGGUGGGCACAAAGAGAUGUACGGUGAAGGGGCAUGCAGAGGAUUUUUUUCCAAAAAAACAGCCCAAGCUAAGGUCGUUUUCAACUCUUUUCAACCCUGGACAUAUGUGUUACUCCAAUCUUGAGUAUUGACAUACAAAACUGCAAUGUCUCAUCUAACAAAUUUGCCCUUGUAGUUCAAUUUUGCUUGUAUCAUCUCCUAAUUGCAUUUGCCCUUGUUCAUUUUCUAAGAUACCAGUUAGAUCGUGUUGUAAAAAUACCUUGUCUAUUGUGUGAGCAUGGGAAAGCUAUAUAAUAACAUAUCCAAUCAUUGCAGCCUUUUCUUAAUGUUGCAGCGUUUCCCUGUAGAGUCCAAAGGACGGCGUAAGAAGUUGCAAGAAGUAUAUAUUUACGUUAAUGCAGUUGUGGUUUUGAGUCCAACAAUUUGAUUGUUGCAUAUAAUGUUUUCUUUUCUGGCUUUACUAACCCUUUGUAUUUCUCUUGAGAAAGCUAUAAGCUUGUUUUAUUUGAUCUUUGCGAAACUUUAGUUGCAUAUAAUGUUUAUAGCAUUUUUGUUAAAAAAUGGAAGUAUUCAACUUGAACCCUUUAGCUGCUAGUUGGUUUAGAUCAUUUAUCUAAUUGAUCAAUCAUUGAUCAUUUGUCCAAACUUAUGUAAUUUGAGCUCUAUUGUUAUUUUUUUGUGUAGAUGUGCUUUAAUGCAUUUGACAAAGGUGCUGACCUUGAUGUUUUGAACCAUCCAAUUCUAAACUUAAUAUGUUACCUUUGGUGGAAAUAUUACCUUCAUCCUUAGUCCUUUUCAUUUUGAGGAAGUUGCCACCAAAACGAGGUAUUACCCAGUAUCAUCCUAUCCGCUGAAUGAUUGACAAAUUAUGAAGGAAUUAACGAUUUCAAAAACGGGUCAUCGUGCACCCUGCAAAAAAAGAGAGUAGAAAACAGCAAUAGGGGGAGUGGCAAAUUAUGAAGGAAUUAACGAUUUCAAUAAUGAAUGGAUAUUUGAUCCUCACUGUAUAUGUGCAGGGAUGAUGAAGAUGAUUCUGUUGCCAAGAUGAAGGCAGCUGAGGAAGCCUUGGAAGCAAAACAAAAAGUAACAAAUAGCUUGUCUGCUACCUGUUCUUUUUUUUAUCAUGUUUUAUAAUUUUGUAACAAAUUGUUCUUGUUUUAUACUGCAUGGCUGCACCAUGUAUUUCUCAACUAGUUUGAUAAAUUUUAUGUGUGGUGUUUAAUUUUUCGUUACUA